UUGAUUUCCGGCUGGUUCGAGUCUGUCUUUUGGUGUGUAGAAAGCAGCGAUGAAGAGAGCAGGAAGACUCUCUGGUCAUCGAUUGUAAAGAACAACAAAUUCACACCAUCCAGCCGUAUUUAUUUUGUGUUUGUGUUCGUCAUAGACCUGCUUGUUUAGAAAGAGAGCUUCAAGAAAAGAUAGAAAAAAGAAAACUUAAAAUUGUCAACAAGAAGUGGAUUGAAGACUGUCAUUUCUGAAAAAUACACAGACCCAGACACUUAUCUGGGGGAGAGCGCUAUCUAUAUGAUCACCCAUCUUUCAGAAAAUGAGCCAGGUCCAGAAACAAUUGAUAAAGUGAAAGAGUUUCUAUGUUAUUUUGAUAAACACGAUUUCGAAGAAAUGGAAACCAACUUGAAGAAAUGCAUGGCAGAAAAAGACAUCAUGUAACCUUUUGACAAUUUGAAUUU